ensembl:misc_RNA
ACACGAUCUUAAAAUCUGUCCAUCUUAGCAAAUUCUUUCCAAGUGUUUCUUUUGUGUUUUUAACCUAUAAAAGAUAAUGGAGUAUAUUUUAUAGGCUGGGUUUUAUCUCAUCCCCUUUCCCAACUGCACUCGGCACUUGUCAGCUUUCUCUUGGCCUUGGAUUUAAUUACACAGAACCAAAACAUUCCCCAGUAGAUUAGCUCGCUAAAUAUUUUUGGCACUUCUAUGGUUUCCCCCCUUGAGAAUUGGAUUAAUCCCGGAUAUCUACCU